ACAGAGGUCCCAAGCGUUGUUCGGAUUUACUGGGCGUAAAGGGUGCGUAGGCGGUUGGGUAAGUCUGACGUGAAAUCUCCGGGCCUAACCCGGAAAGUGCGGAGGGGACUGCUCGGCUAGAGGAUGGGAGAGGAGCGCGGAAUUCCCGGUGUAGCGGUGAAAUGCGUAGAGAUCGGGAGGAAGGCCGGUGGCGAAGGCGGCGCUCUGGAACAUUUCUGACGCUGAGGCUCGAAAGCGUGGGGAGCAAACAGGA
rnacentral:rRNA from 1 species